AUUAGAUACCCCUGUAGUCCUAGCCGUAAACGAUACUCGCUAGGUGUCGGCCACGGUGCGACCGUGGUCGGUGCCGUAGGGAAGCCGUGAAGCGAGCCACCUGGGAAGUACGGCCGCAAGGCUGAAACUUAAAGGAAUUGGCGGGGGAGCACCACAACGGGUGGAGCUUGCGGUUUAAUUGGAUUCAACGCCGGAAAUCUUACCGGGACCGACAGCGAUAUGAAGGCCAGGCUGAAGACUUUGCCGGAUUAGCUGAGAGGUGGUGCAUGGCAUA
rnacentral:rRNA from 1 species